AGCUCAAUGGUAGAGCACCGGCCUUCCAAGCCGGCUAUGUGAGUUCGAUUCUCAUC
rnacentral:tRNA from 1 species